CAACAGAUCAUACAUGAUCCUUCCCAUCUCCUUUUCAAAUGCCCGCACAUCUCCUGAAUUUAUUGGCACGUUUACAUAACCAAUAACCCCCAGAGCGGUUGGGACUUCCCUGAGAGGGAAGAGACCCUGUUGUCCCUCCUCGUCUUCGCUAUCGCCCUGGUGCAUUUUCCAGGUUUUGCAUCUUGUGCAACUGGCGGGUGGGGAUUCCUUACGAUGCUACAAAAAGUUCGUAUAAUCUGAUCGGUUCCACUGGGCUAUCCCAAUCUCGUCUGCCUGCUGAAUUCUGUGGGGCGCCACCCAGACCUCGAGAGGGGACCCUGGAAUCCUUAUCAGAUCAUGUCAGGCAGGUCACCAAAUUUGUUUGCUAAUUUUAUUUACCAGCAGACCCACAGCUGGUUUGUAAAGACAAAUCCGUCACUCCUGUCAGACUGAGCUCACACUAAAUCCACCAAAUACUAUCAGAAGGUCAUCCCUUCAUCAUCCUACUCCUUGCCCACCACCUUUUUUAGAACUACAACAACCACUUAUUUUUACCAGCAUAAUAUUUUGGUGAGGAAAUCAAGUUGCAAAGAUGACCAGAUUAAAGCUACAUCUGAGAGGCAGUUAAAGCUUUGAAGAAUAUGAUGACUGCAGCCUGAAGUUACUGAAAAACUGCAAUUGUGCCCUAUAUGUCCUGUGUGGGCUGUUCUGCUCUGAUCUGGAAGCUUAAACAAAAAAUAAAUAUGGAAUGCCAAGA